AGGCAAACAUGCACGGUUAGAAUGACAAGAACAGCACGCGCUCGCUUUUUUGGUCUGAUGUAUGUAUUGCACAAGGUCGUCAAGUGUCAUUGUAAAAGAGAAAGCAGGGGUUUCCGACGUGGGUAUGUUUGCAUCCGAGGGUGUGUAAAGUAGUGCUUAGGGGAAGCCCCCUCCCCCCCCCUUCCUCUUUUUUGCUCUGCCUCUGCAGUGAGCCUCACCCAUUCGCUAUCCAAUCAGCUUGCAGCCACAUGAGAGGAGAGAAAUGAUGGGGGAAGCCAUGCUGUGGAUAGUGACAGCCUGCCGGGAUGGGCAUCGUUUCAUUUGAAUUGAAGUCUGAAAUGUCCUUCUGGACAGGAGUUGGAUAGUAGAGGGCAGGUGAGACCGUGCUCCAUGGCGGAUUCCCAUUUGGUCCACAGUUUGUCUGAGUGGGGAGCAAGUUUUUCAGCACGCCGCAAUCCCUGUUAAGUGAUACCCAGCUGCCACUUGCGAAUUCUACCAAACACUUCAAAAGCUGAGCCAAAGGCAAGACAUGUCCAGAAGCUCUACAAACAGCAGAACCCCCACUGCCCAGAGUGGUUUCGGUGAAUGUGAUCAAGAUGCAGGCAGACAGCUCCUCAGGCGUGUGUGGUUGAUGUCAUCGUAUUUCAUUCUUUAUUAUCACAACAGCGCAUCAGACCUACUGAAUCAUUGUAAAAAUCAAUUCAUUGAACGCAUUAUUAUUAUCACACAAACAUACUAUCGGCAUGGCAGACAGUUUUCGAGUGCCCACUUCACAGCGAUAAUCUGUGAUAGAUGUCAACUGAACAUUAAGUACUUGACAAGAAACAACUCUGUGCUACACUUUGCUUGGAUAUUAUCAGUUCACAAGGGUGUGCCAUAGGGCUCUGUGUUAAGUCCUCUUUAAUUUCUGUGAAUAAUCUCUGUCAAAUGCAAAACUGCACCUUUGUAUGGAAGACACCAUUGUGUACUUCUAUGCUGCAUCUCUUGCAGAUUUGAGCCCACCACCUCUGAACUGAAGUGAGGCCAAUGUACUACUAGUUGUCCGUCGUGCGAUUAACUUCUUUUUUUAACAUGUUUAUUCAUUCGGGUAAAAGAGACACUUGAGUGUAAAUGGGAUGUCAUGUAUG